rnacentral:hammerhead_ribozyme from 1 species
ACCCAGCUGACGAGCCCCAAAUGGGACGAAACGUGCGUCCUGGAU